AACGAACGCUGGCGGCAGGCCUAACACAUGCAAGUCGAGCGGACCCUUCGGGGUUAGCGGCGGACGGGUGAGUAACGCGUGGGAAUAUGCCCUUCUCUACGGAAUAGUCCUGGGAAACUGGGGGUAAUACCGUAUACGCCCUUUGGGGGAAAGAUUUAUCGGGGAAGGAUUAGCCCGCGUUGGAUUAGGUAGUUGGUGGGGUAAUGGCCUACCAAGCCGACGAUCCAUAGCUGGUUUGAGAGGAUGAUCAGCCACACUGGGACUGAGACACGGCCCAGACCCCUACGGGAGGCAGCAGUGGGGAAUCUUAGACAAUGGGGGCAACCCUGAUCUAGCCAUGCCGCGUGAGUGAUGAAGGCCUUAGGGUUGUAAAGCUCUUUCAGCUGGGAAGAUAAUGACGGUACCAGCAGAAGAAGCCCCGGCUAACUCCGUG
rnacentral:rRNA from 1 species